GCGGGGGCCCAGGCCGCGUGGGGCCGGCGAGGGGAGGCCAGGGAUCAGGGGCGAGGACCCAGGAGCCGGCAGAAGAGCUGGGUGAAGCAGCCCCACACUGGAACAGGAGAGAAUGAAGUCCUUUGUCUCUAAGGGAUCCAGACCAGAAACGGACGAACCUCUGGUUCCCAGAGGGAGGAAAAUCCAUGUCUACUGCCGAGGGAGUUGUUGCCACAACCUCCCUGGAAUGAAGUAUUGCCAAUUACCAAGAACAGUUCUUUCCUAACGGCCAUCUCCCUGGCCGCCUUAAAUCAUUUCUAGCAUCUACUGCAAAGGAAGUCUCGGAAGGAAUUUUUACCUUACAGGAAUAGGAAUAUUUUAGGGUAGUCUCCUAUGCUGAGCACUUCUUCCUCUCAAUGUUUAUUUUGUGUGUGGGUGUUAAUUUCCAGCCAACAAGUCCUCACAGAAUUCCUUGUGAAAAAACUUUUAGUUUUGAUUGUUUUUCUUUUCUGUUGAAGUAUAUAUAUAUUUUUUCAAUCCAUACGGACAUGGAGAUGACUAAUACUCUUGGCCUAAUGUGAAAACCUCUAAAACUGUGUCUCUGCCAUGUGGGUCCAAAGCAUGAAGCACUGGAAAUUUUAAACAAAUGUGUGUGAAUAUGUUAAGCCAAGAGUGCCCCAGUACUCUUCCACCAGACUCUGUGGCCUCAGAUCUGCAAGAGAGGUAUUGGGAUUAGGGAUACCAAUGAAGGGGAUGUGGCUGGAGGGCAUUUAGAAUAUGGUGAUGUCUUCUAGUGUCAAGACUUUCAAUACCAUCUCUACACUGACAACUCCCAAAUCUAUAUCUUCUUCCUGGACUCAUUCUCUAAGUCCAAAAUUGCAUAUCCAACUGCCUAGGAGACAUAUCCACUUGGAUGUCCAGUAAGCAUCUAAAAUCACAAUGCCAAAUUUCUCCCACCCAAAUCCUUUUUCUUCAGCCCUUAUCUCUCUCACCUUAUAUCCAAUCAUUGGCCUUUAAAAUAUAUAUCCAGAAUCAUACACUUUUGCAACACCUCCACAAUUUCCACCUUGCUCUAAGCCAGUGGUCCCCAAUUCCCAGGCAGUGGACUGGUACAGGUCUGUAGCCUGUUAGGAACUGAGCCACACAGCAGGAGGUGAGCAGUCAGCUAGCGAGUGAAGCUUCAUCUGUAUUUGCAGCCGCUCCCCAGUACUCGUAUCACCACUUCAGAUCAUCAGGCAUUAGAUUCUCAUAGGAGCAUUGGUCGCUGGUGCCAAAAAGGUUGAGGACUGUUGUUCUAAGCCAUAAUUGUAUCUCACUUUAUUGCAGUAACCUUGUAAUUAGUCUCUCAGUUUCAACAUUUGCCAUUUCCAACUUAAGUCUGUUCUCAGCACAACAGCCAUAGUGAUCCUGAUAAGAUAUGAGAUCAUGUUCUUUACUCAGAACGCUCUCAUGGCAUCCCAUGUUACUUGAAGUAAAAACAAAAUUAUCAUCAUUAUGGCCUAUAGAAUCUGGUACUGCUUGCUCUCUGACUUCCACUCCUAUUGCUCUCCCCUUCUUCACUCCCCUCCUUCCACAAUCACCUCUUAGCUGUUUUUCAAACACACAUGGUGCGUGUCUGCUCAGGUCUUUUCACUUGCUUUUCCCUUUACCUGGAUCACUCUUUCAGAUAUCCAUAUGCCUUCCUCUCUCAAUUCAGUUCUCUUUUCUAAAUGACAUCUUUUCAUCAGACCUCUGGCCACCCUCUGUAAACUCCAAAAUUCCUCUUCCCCUUUUCUGCUUUAAUUCAUAGUACUUAAUACCAUCUGACAUGUAAUUUACCUUGUUUAUUGUCCUCUCUCAUUAGAAUGUAAGCUUCAUUUUUGUUCACUCCUGUAUCCUCAGCAACUAAAACUAUACCUGGCACAAAGUAGGCACUUAAUAUUCAAUGAAUGAAUAAAUGAGCUGUUUAGCUGUAUUAAGAGAAAUCAUCUACCCUUGACCUUUACCUUAUGUAAAGAGAGUGACAGUCAUAUAACAUUAACAAUAUUUAAAAAACUAGUGAAACCUAGGGAGGAAUAAAGUUGUCUAGGUCAGAAAAGAAAGAAUAUACCUGGAAGGAAUUGAAGAAAUGACCACUGAGGUGAGUCUUAAAGGUUGAGACAGUAGGAAGACAUUUCAGACAGAUGAGAACAUUGUGAAGCAUGGGAUAAAAGGAUGUGUUGGAGUAAAUGGGAGAAGCUGGCUGGCAUUUACCUUGGAUGGUGGGGAGUAUAAGAGGAAAAACGGGUGAGGUGUGUUGAGACCAGAUUAUGAAAGUCUGAAGGCCCAGUUAAGGAAUGGAUAAUUUAUCAGCAAAAGGUGAACCAUCAAAGAAUAUCUAGCAAAGUGUGGAAUGAUCACAUUUGUGUUGUUGAAAGCUAACCUCAAUAUUUGUAUCUGCACUGAAUGCAAGAAGCCAACUUAAAGGCUGUUAAUCCAGGUGCGAAGUGAUGAGUGGUUAAUGUAACAUGAGUGGUAUGGGGAUCUAGAGGGAAGGACAGGAAGCCCAGUGGUUAAAAGCACAGGCUCUGGUAUGAGGUUGCCAGCAGUAAUCACAGUUCUACCAUUUAUUGGCUGUGUUAUUUAACCUCUACCUCAGUUUCCUCAUCAGCAAAUUAACUAUAAUAGUACGUUACCACACAGGGUUAUUAUAAGGAUUAAAUGGGAUAAUCCAUGUAAAAUGUUUAUCGUAGCAUGUGGCACUUGGUAAUGCUUAAGAAUGUAGUUAUCACAUUAUUAUAAUUUGCAGGGUUUGAUCAAUAGAAUGGAGAGGGGGUGAGGGAGAAGGAGGACUUUGUGGUCUCGAUUUCUAAGGCCAGACAGAUGGCAAUUCCAUAAACAAAUAGCCUAUGUUUUCUUCCUCACCAGACCAAAUGUGGGCCUAGAUUGGCAUCAUCAGCAUCACCUGGGAACUCGUUAGGAAUACAAAUUCUCGGACUCCCCUCUAAACCUAAUGAAUCAGAAACUCUGAGGUGUGUUAGUCUUGUUUUAACAAGCCCUCCAGGUGAUUCUGAUGCACCCCAAGUUUGAAAACCUUGGAGUCUAUAUCAGGGGUUGGCCAACCUAUUCUUUAAAGGCUAGAUAGUAAAUAUUUUAGGCUUUGACAGCCCUGGGGUCUCUUGUACUAUUCAACUUUGCUAUUGUAGCAAAAAAGACAUGUAAAUAGUGUGGCUGAUAAUGAGUGGUUGGUUAAUCUAAGGUCCUAGUGGGAUAGCAGCAAUAUAGACAAUGAAAGAAGCUCUGGUAUGAGACCAAGCAGCAAUCACAGUUCCAACAUUUUAUAAAAUUGUAUUUAGGGACACAAAUUUGAAUUUCACAUUUUUAUUUGUCAUGAAAUAUUUAGAUUUUUCAACUAUUUAAAAAUUCUGAGCUUAUUUUAGCUUGUGGCACAUAUAAAAACAGCAUUGGGCUGUAGUUUGCCUACCACUGGUCUAGAGACCAAUGGACAAAACUGGAGCCAAUCUUCAACAAAAUGGCGGGGGGGUGGGGCGCACAUAACUCUAAACAGUACCCAUGUUAAGUCAAGGCAGGGUGGCCUAGAGCUAUUAUUCUGCCAAUUACAUGCUUCCUAUUUUUUGUGUUAAAAUACUCUGCUUUUGUGAAAUGAUGGAGAUAGUAAAUAGCAAUCGGUGGUGGUAGUUUUUUAAUGUCCUUACUCGGCAAAAUAAAAAGAUGACAAUUUUA